UCUAUAUUACAUCAUCAGGUUCUAUAUUACAUCAUCAGGUUCUAUUACAUCAUCAGGUUCUAUAAUAUCAGGUUCUAUAUUACAUCAUCAGGUUCUAUAUUACAUCAUCAGGUUCUAUUACAUCAUCAGGUUCUACCAGUGCUCUUGUUCAUGAUAGCACCAAACAGUGUAUUAAUGCAGCUUCGUGUAGAUUAAAACUUGUGUACGAUGUUUUUAUAAAUACUCAGCUACAUGUAAACAUGAACCUAAAGUUCACUCACUUCUUCUCUCACCUUCCUCUAAAGCAGCGAUAUCCAACCCUCCUGCAUGUUUAAGAGUAUCUCUCCUCACUCUAACACACCUGACUUUAAUUAUUAAAUCAUUAUCAAGCCCUUAACGAGCUUCAGCUGCUUCAUAACGAGCUCAUUAUUUAAGGAUCAGGUGUGUAAGAGGAGAGAGGAGAGAGACUCUAAAAGGUAUCCAGCCAUGUAAGAUAUAGAUUAGGUCAUUUUAAACUCAGUUAAUCCAAAAACACAGGAGAUAAAAAACAAAAAACAUCCAAAGUUUCAUUGUUUUAGUUUUGGUCUGUUCAUGUUCACACUGGCUCAUUAUUAAAAAUGAACAAUAUUAAGUCAUUGAUUGAUUGGACUGGUUUGGUUAGUCGUCAUUUUACUCUAACUGAUGCAUGAUAAGCUUUUUAUGGGGGGUGUAUUUUUAGUAUUUAGUAUUUGUAUUUAAUUUAUCUUUAUCUUAAUAGCAGUUGGGCCGUUUUUAAAGUAUCUUCAGGAUAGGAUAGGUUAUAUUGUACUGUGAUUUACACUGAAGACAUUCUGUGUAUCUCUGUCUCAUGAUGUUUGUCACUCAUGUUUUAUUUGAGAUAACUGUUGUUGUGAUUUGAUGCUACAUAAAUAAGGAUUGAUUGAUAAAGAUAAAGAUUGUUGUUGCCUGUCAUAUUAUAUCAUAUUACAUAUAGGCAUUGAGGUUAUUCUGGUUUAAAAAAGGUAAAUUUAGCUUAAACUGCUCAUAAGAUCGCUUCCUUAACGAUUGAUUUCAAACUUUAAUCACUUUUCUACAAUCAUAAAAUCGUGCUGUUGGGUCUGUUUUUGCUUUAAAAGUCAGCUCUAAAGGUUUGUUAGUAUAGUUUUUAUUUUAUAUUGGUUUGGUUUUAGUGAGUUUAACAAGAGAUGAAGUCGUUUUUAGUUUAGCUUUUAUUUAGUUUUGAUCGUUAUCUCAACAAGUCAAACUGAACACUAUACAGUCACGAUGGAGAACAUGAAAAGAAAACUAAAACUAAGCUGAUUUUUAUCUGCUGUUCACUUUAGUUUUAGUUAGUUUUGCUUUGUUCAUUGUAGUUUUUAUUUAUCGUUUUUUUACAAAACUCUUUUUUAUUGUCAUUUCAGUUUAUUAAAUUAUUGUUUCACUGCUAGUUUUAGUUUAAGUCUUAUUCUCCGUUAACUAUAAUAACCCUGCUCUGAAGUAACCCUAACCCUUCACACAACUGGGUUGGAUUGACGACUUUCUUUCACAAAAGCCCAAAUUAAUCAAACUAAAUGGGUAAAAAACGUAUCAAACUUAGCUGUAAAAUCAACCAAUGUGCUCUGAGACUGACUCCACUACGAGUCGACGGACCCACAAGUCGCACAAUUAAACUCCCGAAAUCAUCAACUCAGUUUACGAAAAGGUAGACGAGUCACGAGUCAACAAGAACAGACAACACACUGAAAAAAGACCUGGGACAUAAAAGACCCGACAGCUUUAAUGUAUCUGACAAAGAAGACGUUGAGUUAACUCUACAUGGCUAGAUACUUCUUAAAGGGGAAGUGAGAUUAGAAGAGAGUGAACCUUUUAAAAUGCUUAUUGGUUUGAGAAAAGAAGCUGAAACUUCACUUUUUGGUUCUUUUUAGACGAGAUUCAAUAAAAGCAAAAAGAACAACAACAAAAACAAGUUGAUGGAGAAAUCUGGACAUUUAAAACACUGUGAGACAGUUACAGUAAUGACUUCAUGGUUGUUAUUCUCACCAUUUAAAUAUGAUCUAACAGCCAGUCUUCACAAAUUCAGUCUUUAUAACAGAUUAUCACAACUUUAUGAGACUUUGGUGUCUUUUUAUUUAUAUUUUUAUUCAAAUAUCAGUUUCUUUGUCCGAAAAAACCACAGAAAGAACACGAGAGCGACUUGUACAUUCAGAGGUAUUUCGUUUUCACUUUAAUAGCUUAAAAAAGAAAGAAA